UACGUAGGGAGCAAGCGUUGUCCGGAAUCAUUGGGCGUAAAGCGCGCGUAGGCGGCCUCAUAAGUCCGUUGUGAAAGUCAAAGGCUCAACCUUUGAAAGCCGAUGGAUACUGUGAGGCUAGAGUCCGGAAGAGGCGAGUGGAAUUCCUGGUGUAGCGGUGGAAUGCGCAGAUAUCAGGAGGAACACCGGUGGCGAAGGCGGAUCUCUGGGCCGAUACUGACGCUGAGGAGCGAAAGCGUGGGGAGCGAACAGG
rnacentral:rRNA from 1 species